rnacentral:rRNA from 1 species
GAUGAACGCUGGCGGCGUGCCUAAUACAUGCAAGUCGAGCGAACAGAUGAGGAGCUUGCUCCUCUGACGUUAGCGGCGGACGGGUGAGCAACACGUGGAUAACCUACCUAUAAGACUGGGAUAACUUCGGGAAACCGGAGCUAAUACCGGAUAAUAUAUUGAACCGCAUGGUUCAAUAGUGAAAGACGGUUUUGCUGUCACUUAUAGAUGGAUCCGCGCCGCAUUGGCUAGUUGGUAAGGUAACGGCUUACCAAGGCAACGAUGCGUAGCCGACCUGAGAGGGUGAUCGGCCACACUGGAACUGAGACACGGUCCAGACUCCUACGGGAGGCAGCAGUAGGGAAUCUUCCGCAAUGGGCGAAAGCCUGACGGAGCAACGCCGCGUGAGUGAUGAAGGUCUUCGGAUCGUAAAACUCUGUUAUUAGGGAAGAACAAAUGUGUAAGUAACUAUGCACGUCUUGACGGUACCUAAUCAGAAAGCCACGGCUAACUACGUG